CAGGCUUACUCUCGAAAUCAAUCUCAAUCUCAAUUUAGUCUCAAUGCAAUUCCAAUCACAAUUUUGUUUGUUACUCUUGAAGUCAUUACUAUUGCGAUUGUAUUGGCAUUGGGAUUGUGUCGUAAUUGUCGAUUCCACUGUACGUCAACAUGACAUCAACCUGUCAGCCACGGAAAUAGAACAAAUGAAUGAACGAAAACUUUAAUAAAAAUUAUAAAAUUUAAGUAAUUUUAAAGAAAAUUAUUUAUAUUCAGAGGUACUUUUAUCAAAAAUGCUUAUUUCUUACUAAUAACAUAUUUUUUAGACAAGAAUGAUCAAAUUAAAUUUUUGAAUCGGCUUAUUUGGCUGUAUGAGUUUAUUCCUGUGUCUCAACAUGUGUAGAGUUUACAAAAAAAAGUCAUAAAACAACCAGCCGACGGCCGGUUACACUUACUUAUUAAACCUAUACAAAAAGAAAUAAAUCAAUCAGCUGAAGCUGAAAAUCCAUAUUGUGUUUUAAGUGCUCGGCGCUCUUAAGUUUGUGGGACGAAGUUACCAAAAAUGAAGUUUAAAGUUGCUACAAUAUUCACGGCACAACAACGUUGUUUCUUCUUUGUUUACACUCCGAAAUCAAGUAUUGGGCAGAAAAGAAGUCUGCCUUGAAGAAGCUGUGCAACGGGCUCAGUCCAUGAGGCGCACUGGCGGUAGCUUAGAUAUGGUGCUAGGGCUGUCACUACUUUUUAUUUAUUUGUGGCAGUCAGUGGCAGUCAUGGGUGGUGGGUGACUCUCUUGCCACAGGUACCAGAGGAAUAGCUGUAGACCCCUUUCCACAAAGUAAUUCUCGCCCUUCUAUAUUAAUAGACCUGCCAUCCACAUCACAGGCUGCCACUGAAACCCUGGAAAUAGAGCAAGAAAUUCAUAUUCAUAAUCCACAGCCUCCUGUGGAGGCAGGGCUGCAGAUAGAACACAGCGAGCAGCAAGGCGAAAAAAGUUUUGUAGGCAUUAUAUGAUUCCAUACUAAUAUUUAUGAAGUUCUGUGUAGAUUUUUAAAUGUUAUUUAAAUAAUAAUUUAUUAAUUAUUACAAAUUAUAUUAGUGUUCUCUGUAUUUUAGGUCAAUAAAGAUUAUAAACAAUAAAUAUAUUUUUUUAAAUAAUGAUUGUUUUUA